rnacentral:lncRNA from 1 species
UGGGCCACCCAGAGUCAGGAGGAAUUUAUUGCGAAGAGUAGUGGGGUAGGCCCGUGGCUAUCGCCGAAGCACGCCACGUGGAGUCUGCCACAGGGAGUGGAGCGACGUCCAUUGUUGUGACUUGCCAGAGGAUGGAAGAAUCGUGCGGUAUCCAUUGCAGGAAGUGGAGCAGGAUCGUGGCCGUUACUGUGGCCUGUCGGGGGGUAAUGGAGCCGCACGGAAUCCAUUGCAGAAAGUGGAGCA